ACUCUCUUAAUAAUACAAGACCAUCUAUUAUAAAUUAUCUAAUCAGUAUGUUUGAUUUCUUUCAGGUUACCUGUCCUGCUGUCGCUUCCUGGAUGACAACCAGAUUGUCACCAGCUCUGGUGACACCACCUGUGCUCUGUGGGACAUUGAGACUGGUCAGCAAAUAAUAAAAAAAUAUUUGAAUUGUUUCUUAAAAUAUAAGCUGAGCAGUUUGAGUAAAAUUCAUUAAAGUUACAUUUGUGAAUAUUUAUAAAAACUUUGAAACAGCAGGUUUCACACACUUGCUUGGAGGAGGAUGAUAUUUUUCCCAUCCAAAGCUUCCAGACACACGAAAAAAUAGCACAAGAAACUCUGACAAAGCAUUUGUUUUUAUUUGACAUGAAACACAUCAAGUGACAGUGUGAUAGUGCUUUUAUCAAGUAAGACAUGUUAGAGGUUAUCGCACCAUUGACUAAUUCAGAAUGUCUCUGCUGCAGCUCGAUGAUGCAUAGUGAACAGACAGUCGCUGAGGUAUACACUGUGGGCCCUUGAGUUUUUUGUGUGAAAGAUCUCAAUUUCAUUACCUCACAUGUACAUUUUGUGCUUAGAAUAACUCUGGAUGUGUGAAAUGUACGCCGGUCCUCACAACAGGACAGCUUGAACAACCGAAAUUAACAUUCAAAUGGAAAACGUCGAUUUGCAUUGUUGUUGUGGAGUUCUGUUGAGACUUUGCAUCAGAUCUCAGAGCUGAUGAGAAUGGGUGACAAUGAACAAUUCUGUAACUGAGCAGUGAGUGAAAACAUGGCAUGAAAAUGGUGACAUGGAAAAAGAACGAGUUAUUUUCACACAACAAGGGCAUCCAGGAAGAAACCUUCUACGUAAUGACAUUGGAGGUCAAAACUUUUCCUUAGUGAAUAGCACCAAUGUCUAUUGAAAAAGCUUGAAGGCCAGCGUGAAAUUAUAAAACUUUAUUAAAACUUGCCAAAGUAAAACAGUAGCAACAAAGCAAUUAUCACAUAAUAGCUCAAAAGCUUCACUUUGUUAUUCAUGAGUAACUAACUUGCCUCAGAUAUUGUCUCACGUGUCGUCAGUGCCUCUCACUGAGGGAAGAGUAUUUUUAUUGAUGUGUUGUACUGCGUCAUGCUGUUUCUACCUCAAUCCAUCUGUUUGCAGAAGUUGUGCAGUUUUAAAGAAAGAUUAUAUCAGAAAAAUAUCGAUGAAACUUCUACAAAAUAUAUUAAAUUCCAAUUUUGGAUGGAAAGAAUUAAAAUACAGUGGAGGCGACAUAAAAAAGAAGACAUUUUUGAAAAAGGGUUUGAUAUUGUGGGAUGUUUUCUUAGAAAAAGCCCAACCUUGUUGCACCAGAAGAGCCAAAGUGGACUAACACACACAGACACACACACUCCCUCAUGGACACGCACAGACAUAAAAUGAGAUUGGGGAAAGUGCACAUCGUUCCUCCCAAAAAAUAUGAAACAUUUUUCCUGCUGCUUUGCAAUGUGAAACCUUUAAAUUAACAAUGAAGAAAAAUUCCGUCAAGUAUGAAAAAUCAGUCAUUUGUAUCGACAAAGUUCACUUCCAUGUACAUGUUAACACCAGUAAUACAGUAUCUGACCUCUAAAAUACAGUAUACAGACAACACAUCCAUACCCUCAUUUAUCACCUCCCAUUUUCUUUUAAAGGAGGAUUCUACCAGUUUUAAAUCACUGGCCACUUAUCGAUUGUUGUUCCUUCCUAAUUUUUUUUUCAGUGUUACAGACAUUCACACAGAAUUGGUUUAAAUGGUAAUGAUGAAAUGAGAAACACAAAAGACACCCCCCUCCUGAAAAAUAAAGUACUUUUAGUCAUAAAUUGGUUUCACAUGUGAAAACUGUGGAACAGUUCAUUAAAUAAGCUAACGUUACAGCCAGAAAUGAGCCAUUAAAAAUAAAAAGCGCUGAAGCUCCACAGGUUUAGUAAGGCAAAGUUCUGUUCUCAUUUUGAUAGUUUAUUUUUUUUUAGAAAUUCAACAGUCCAUAAUAAUAAAUGUGACAACUGUGCAAUAAAAAGGCACUGACAUGCCUUCUGAUGAUCUACAUUUAUCUAAUCAGGUGUGACUCUAAUACUAAACAACGAUGUCCUUUGCUGAGAGCUAGCAGUGCACUUCUACACAAGCCAGUGAAUCUCUUCCAGCCCUAACAAGGUCAGCUUACUUCGAAUAGCUCCUUCACAGUCACCAGCAGGCAGCCUGCUUGGCCGUCACUGAGCUGAUGUUCAAACUUUCCUUUAUUCUGGAAUUUCAGAGUUUUGAUGAGACUGUGUGCUAAGGUCAAAAGCUCUUAAACAGGCAAGUAGGUUGACCUUGAGGUUUUUUUAUUUCCAAAGUCAAGAAUGAACUGUCAGGCUUAAACAUCUGAACCCUGACCGGCACCACAUUCCACCUCAUGUGUUAGCACUGCAUUAUAGCAACAAAAUUCCCAAAAACUAAAUACUCAACAACCUUUGAAAAAGCCAGAAGACCUUUUAAUAACAUUUGCUGCAGCUCUGAUGGUAUUUUCAAGAACCUUAAAUGACUCUUCUAAUUAAAUCACCAAAAAAAAUAUUUAGUGUGGUACAUGAUAAAAAUGUAUUUAAUUUGAUAAAUAUUGUGGCUCUAUUAAUUGGUUCAGAAAAGGUGGUGGCCAGAAAUGACACAUCCUUAUUCAGUUACCUAACCCAAACUCAGUUACACUAUUAAAUGUCUUUUCAGUAUUUGAUAUUUUCAUACAAAAUUCCAUGUUAAUAUUUUACUUUUUUACUAUUAGGAGAAAUAAUCCCAGUUGGGGAAAGUGAUCUUCGUUGUGCAACAGAUGGGAGUAUUCACCCAAACAGAUGGUUAGAAUAAUCUUUAGGAAGUCUGGAAAUACCUUCAGAACAGCAUGUGUGUUUGGAAAAUCAAACAGGUGCGAAUCGAAUGGAAAGGUACAGUAACACACGAGAGGUUCAAACUGAAUAUUCAGCUAAUCCGCUGCUGACUGAUUCCUGGCCUUGUUUUUGUUAUAUUGGCCUGUAUGUUGACACUGCCUGCACUUCCACUCAGCAUGCACACCUAAAAACCUGCUUCUUUUGAAAACUGGUCCUUUUACUAUUAGUACUAUCACAAUCAUAAGAACAAUCUAACGGACCGACUCCUACUCACACCGAAAACUAAGUCUGCUUCAUCUUCACUAUCCAAGUUUGUAUGUUUAUUAAGUGAGUCUUUCUUUUGCCACACCAACAAGUAAUUCAAGUGUAUUUUUUAGGACGUUUUUUAACAUGUGAACUCCGACACUUAUGUCUGCUGUCAAAUACAGUAUGUGCAAGGGAAGCAAGGGCCACGUACACCUGGUAGCACGGUAACAUGUCAGCUCCCCCCUGUGGGCUGCACUUGCUGGUGGCAUUUUUUUUAAUACUGAAGUGGAUUUGCUCUUGUGACAGCAGCAGACAUGGGGGAGGGGGGGUGUCCCCUUGAGGCAGGUGAGGCAGGAAGUAGACUCUGAGGUGCAAGGACUUAAAGUGCAAUGAGGGAAAGUUCCAGCUCCUCUCAGCAGUUCCGAUGCAUCAUCCUGCCUUUGCAAAAAGAGGGAGUAUAAAAAAUAAAAUAAAAUU